CACAGCAGUAUGAAUGCUGCUGGUAGAGUGAUUAAGAUCUAUCAGAUUUGAAUAAAAAGGGCAAAAGCAUAAAAACUCAUAAAAAAAUUAAACGUCUAGAUAUAAUCCCUUAUCACCCAUCUUAUGAAACCUCCUUGGGCCAUCCCCAGGCUUCCUUAGCCAAAGUGCUGACAAUGGCAACGGCAGGUUUUAUGCUCCAGCAGCAAGGUGCAGAAUCUCACUGAUGCCUAAUAAUCUUGGCUAAUGGCUAAUUUGCAUUAUUCUUUCCAUCCAGGGAUGCGCAAAGAAUGCAAGGGGUUUGAAGUUGCUGUUGUGUGGGUAAGAGAUCCAGUUUCUGUGAAAGGUGAUGCACACACAUGUGCUAGACCUGUCCUUUCGGUAGUGAUGUUCUGCGCUGCUCUGUGCUGGAUCCAUGAUUCUGCAGCGGGCUCCAUCCAAUGUCCUCGGCAUCGCUCCCAGGCCCCCCAGAGCUCAGCGCAGGGCAGUGGUCCUGCUCCCAGCAAGGCUCGACCUCCUCUCUCCGUGGGUGAGCUAAUUACUCUGCCUCCCUGCUCCGGCAGUGACAGCAGCAGGAUGCUUUGCCA